rnacentral:misc_RNA from 1 species
UUUCAUCGAGUGAGCAUUCGUCUUCUGGUUACGGGGCCAUAGCUCAGCUGGGAGAGCGCGUGCUUUGCAAGCAUGAGGUCGUCGGUUCGAUCCCGUCUGGCUCCACCAGAUGGUUUGAUCACCGAGAUCUUGACCGUCGUCCGCGAAACAUCACUUCGCAUCCUGCUAGUCUGGAUAGACAGCAGUUUGCGUGUUUUCUGACAUCGUAAAGAGGAGAUCGAUCCGAGUUGGGUCGUGCAGCAUAUCGUUGCGCGAGCCUUCAUUAUCUCCGGAUCAUUUCGGCGCUCGCUUCCAGCCGUGAGGUUGGAUGCGGGUUGUAAAUGAUCCUUUUAGCGAAGCUUGACCGCCUCGCUAUCGGAACGAUCUUACGAAGCAAGCUGGUCUUUCUAGUCAAUGUCCGGCUGCGGAUAGCGUUCAUCGAGGGCGCGUGCCGCAAGGCAAUUCUGCAGACAACAUUCUGCCGAGUGUGUGGACAUUGAUAAUGAGAGCAAUCAAGUGCCUUAAGGGUGUUCGGUGGAUGCCUUGGCGCUGAGAGGCGAUGAAGGACGUGCUACGCUGCGAUAAGCCGUGGGGAGCUGCGAAGAAGCUUUGAUCCGCGGAUUUCCGAAUGG